GGGCCCGUAGCUCAGCGGUAGAGCACUUCCAUGGCAUGGAAGGGGCCAGGGGUUCGAAUCCCCUCGGGUCCA
rnacentral:tRNA from 1 species